rnacentral:lncRNA from 1 species
AGUUACCAAAUUUCUGAAUUUUGAAUGUUUUAAAAACCUUAUAAUACUACUUUAAAAAUUACUUACAUUUGAAGUUUGACAAAAUGAUAUUUCCAAAAAAAUAUGAAAAUAAAAUUGUUAGGGAAAUUGGGAAUACCAUCAACAUCAGAUCAAAUAUAUCUUGUAUGGAAGAUAUAAACAAUUAGGUUUCAGAAUUUGGGGAGUUGAAAAUUUAAGUCAUUGAAACUAUCGCUCCAGUAUUCCAAAAGGCCAACGAAUUCUCUAAAAAAUUUGUAUGUCAACACAGUAAUUUUAAAAAGCCCAAUAUAAAUAAAAAAAGAUUAUCCAAAAAUGCAAAUUGCCCAGCUACAAUUGAUGUAACAAUAAAACUUAAUACUACUGCAACUAAAAAAAAAAAGAUCCAUUUAUAAAGGAAUUUUAUUAGAGUUGGUGAUUUGUUGUGCUAUUACAUGUUUAUAUAAAUAUAAUAUAUACUUAUAUUAUAUGUUUUUAUGCAGAUAUGUACAUUAAUUUGUCAAACUUUGACUUUAAAUAGUCUUUAAUUGUCAACUGGGAAAUCAGCUGAGAACUCAUUUAAUGGUGUACAUCCAUCAGGGAAACUAGUAUUUAUGUUAUAAUAUAACAAUAUAUAAUAUUAUGUUACUUUUUAUUGCUUUUACUUUUACAGCUUAUAAUUACAAGGUUCAAGUGGUGCUAUGAUCUGACUCCAAAAUUACUGAUAUCAAGAUUGUGAGUGGUGUUACGGUUAUGAAAAGUCUCUGAAUGUCUCAAAUAUUCCUACUUUCUGUCUAGCACUUGUCUUGAUCUCCCUUUUAUAUGAUUAUUAUAAAGAGUGGGUGGCGACUAUUGUAUGAAGGGUCUUGAAAAUGUGGUUAUGUGUUCUUGUUGAUUCUUAUAGAUGAGACAUUGAGAUUCAAUUUAUUUUUUUAAACUAUUAUAAGUCAUUCUACGCUCUUUGUCUUGUCCUAGCAUGUUUGUGCCAAUACAUUUUAUUCAUUAAUAUAAUUUUAUUUUAAUUAUUUCCAUAACA